rnacentral:rRNA from 1 species
GAGCCGCGUGAGGGAUGAACGCCUUCGUGUUGUAAACCUCUUUCAGCAGGGAAUAACGAAAGUGAAGGUACCUGCAGAAGAAGCACCGGCUAACUAUGUGCCAGCAGCCGCGGUAAUACAUAGGGUGCAAGCGUUGUCCGGAAUUAUUGGGCGUAAAGAGCUCGUAGGUGGUCGAUCACGUCGGAUGUGAAAAUCUGAGGCUUAACCUCAGACCUGCAUUCGAUACGGGUUGACUAGAGUGUGGUAGGGGAGACUGGAAUUCCUGGUGUAGCGGUGGAAUGCGCAGAUAUCAGGAGGAACACCGAUGGCGAAGGCAGGUCUCUGGGCCAUUACUGACACUGAGGAGCGAAAGUGUGGGGAGCGAACAGGAUUAGAUACCCUGGUAGUCCACACCGUAAACGGUGGGCGCUAGUUGUGGGAACCUUCCACGGUUUCUGCGACGCAGUUAACGCAUUAAGCGCCCCGGCUGGGGAGUACGGUCGCAAGACUAAAACUCAAAGAAAUUGACGGGGCCCCGCACAAGCAGCGGAGCAUGCGGCUUAAUUCGACGCAAC